AUUUUUUGGAGAGGUUUAUCCUGGCCCAGGACGAACGCUGGCGGCGUGCCUAAUAAAAUCAAAUCGAGCGGGAAGAUGGGAGCUUGCGCCCUGUCGUU
rnacentral:rRNA from 1 species